UGGCGGACGGGUGAGUAACGCGUGGAUAACCUGCCUUGUACUGGGGGAUAACACUUAGAAAUAGGUGCUAAUACCGCAUAAGCGCACAGGACCGCAUGGUCUGGUGUGAAAAACUCCGGUGGUACAAGAUGGAUCCGCGUCUGAUUAGCUAGUUGGUAAGGUAACGGCCUACCAAGGCAACGAUCAGUAGCCGGCUUGAGAGAGUGAACGGCCACAUUGGGACUGAGACACGGCCCAAACUCCUACGGGAGGCAGCAGUGGGGAAUAUUGCACAAUGGGCGAAAGCCUGAUGCAGCGACGCCGCGUGAGUGAAGAAGUAUUUCGGUACGUAAAGCUCUAUCAGCAAGGAAGAAAAUGACGGUACUUGACUAAGAAGCCCCGGCUAACUACCUGCCAGCAGCCGCGGUAAUACGUAGGGGGCAAGCGUUAUCCGGAUUUACUGGGUGUA
rnacentral:rRNA from 1 species